rnacentral:tRNA from 1 species
AGUGCUGUAGCCGCUGGAAAGGCAUAGGCUUGCAAAGCCGAAGUUGUUGGUUCGAAUCCAACCAGUACUG